CCUGGUAGUGGGGGACAACGUUUCGAAAGGAACGCUAAUACCGCAUACGUCCUACGGGAGAAAGCAGGGGACCUUCGGGCCUUGCGCUAUCAGAUGAGCCUAGGUCGGAUUAGCUAGUUGGUGAGGUAAUGGCUCACCAAGGCGACGAUCCGUAACUGGUCUGAGAGGAUGAUCAGUCACACUGGAACUGAGACACGGUCCAGACUCCUACGGGAGGCAGCAGUGGGGAAUAUUGGACAAUGGGCGAAAGCCUGAUCCAGCCAUGCCGCGUGUGUGAAGAAGGUCUUCGGAUUGUAAAGCACUUUAAGUUGGGAGGAAGGGUUGUACGUUAAUACCGUGCAAUUUUGACGUUACCGACAGAAUAAGCACCGGCUAACUCUGUGCCAGCAGCCGCGGUAAU
rnacentral:rRNA from 1 species